CAGUAGCCGCGGUAAUACGUAGGGUGCAAGCGUUAAUCGGAAUUACUGGGCGUAAAGCGUGCGCAGGCGGUUCGUUAAGACAGAUGUGAAAUCCCCGGGCUUAACCUGGGAACUGCAUUUGUGACUGGCGGGCUAGAGUAUGGCAGAGGGGGGUAGAAUUCCACGUGUAGCAGUGAAAUGCGUAGAGAUGUGGAGGAACACCGAUGGCGAAGGCAGCCCCCUGGGCCAAUACUGACGCUCAAGCACGAAAGCGUGGGGAGCAAACAGGAUUAGAUACCCGAGUAGUCCCUGUCUCUUAUAA
rnacentral:rRNA from 1 species